rnacentral:rRNA from 1 species
AUCGUAGACUCCUACGGGAGGCAGCAGUGGGAAUAUUGGACAAUGGGGGGGAACCCCUGAUCCAGCCAUGCCGCGUGUGUGAAGAAGGCCUUUUGGUUGUAAAGCACUUUAAGCGAGGAGGAGGCUUACCUGGGUUAAUACCUGGGAUAAGUGGACGUUACUCGCAGAAUAAGCACCGGCUAACUCUGUGCCAGCAGCCGCGGUAAUACAGAGGGUGCAAGCGUUAAUCGGAUUUACUGGGCGUAAAGCGCGCGUAGGGUGGCUAAUUAAGUCAAAUGUGAAAUCCCCGAGCUUAACUUGGGAAUUGCAUUCGAUACUGGUUAGCUAGAGUAUGGGAGAGGAUGGUAGAAUUCCAGGUGUAGCGGUGAAAUGCGUAGAGAUCUGGAGGAAUACCGAUGGCGAAGGCAGCCAUCUGGCCUAAUACUGACACUGAGGUGCGAAAGCAUGGGGAGCAAACAGGAUUAGAUACCCUGGUAG